UGUCUGAGCAGCAUAUUGGUUUGAAAUUAGCAAUUAUGUUAUGCUUGUUGUUUAAUUUUUUGCUGUUUGAUAUAUAUAUAUAUAUUUUUUUUUUAUUUAGAUCGACAAAUAUGCAAGCAGGGGAGAUUAUUCAUUAAUAUUCUUAUGAUACCAAGCUGCUUAUGUUUGCUGUUUGUUAUAACCCUUUUGUAAUGACUCUUAAACAAGCAAACUCAACUAGUAAGCAUGUUUCUUGCCAC
rnacentral:lncRNA from 1 species